CCAGACUCCUACGGGAGGCAGCAGUGGGGAAUAUUGGACAAUGGGGGAAACCCUGAUCCAGCAAUGCCGCGUGUGUGAAGAAGGCCUGCGGGUUGUAAAGCACUUUCAGUAGGGAAGAUAAUGACGGUACCUACAAAAGAAGCACCGGCUAACUCCGUGCCAGCAGCCGCGGUAACGGAGGGUGCGAGCGUUAAUCGGAAUUACUGGGCGUAAAGCGUACGUAGGUGGUUUGGUAAGUCGGAUGUGAAAUCCCCGGGCUCAACCUGGGAAUUGCAUUCGAAACUGCCUCACUAGAGUCUAGCAGAGGGAUGCGGAAUUCCGGGUGUAGCGGUGAAAUGCAUAGAGAUCGGAAGGAACACCAGUGGCGAAGGCGACUCGCUGGACCAAAAUUGAUGCUGAGGUGCGAAAGCGUGGGUAGCAAACAGGAUUAGAUACCCUGGUAGUCCACGCCGUAAACGAUGUCAACUAGCCGUUACGGUUCCAUUCAAGGGAUCAGUGGUGCAGCUAACGCAUUAAGUUGACCGCCUGGGGAGUACGCGCGCAUCGAGCGUAAAACUCAAAUGAAUUGACGGGGGCCCGCACAAGCGGUGGAGCAUGUUGUUUAAUUCGAUGCAACGCGAAGAACCUUACCACCCCUUGACAUCCUGCGAACUUUCUAGAGAUAGAUUGGUGCUCGGGAACGCAGUGACAGGUGCUGCAUGGCUGUCGUCAGCUCGUGUCGUGAGAUGUUGGGUUAAGUCCCGUAACGAGCGCAACCCUUGUCCUUAGUUGCCAGCACGUAAUGGUGGGAACUCUAGGGAGACUGCCGGUGACAAACCGGAGGAAGGUGGGGACGACGUCAAGUCAUCAUGGCCCUUAUGGGCAGGGCUACACACGUGCUACAAUGGCCGGUACAGAGGGUCGCGACCUCGCGAGAGUGAGCUAAUCCCCCAAAGCCGGUCGUAGUCCGGAUUGGAGUCUGCAACUCGACUCCAUGAAGUUGGAAUCGCUAGUAAUCGUGGAUCAGAAUGCCACGGUGAAUACGUUCCCGGGCCUUGUACACACCGCCCGUCACACCAUGGGAGUGGGUUGCUCCAGAAGUAGCUAGUCUAACCUUCGGGGGGACGGUUACCACGGAGUGAUUCAUGACUGGGGUGAAGUCGUAACAAGGUAGCCCUAGGGGAACCUGCGGGGAUCACCUCCUU
rnacentral:rRNA from 1 species